rnacentral:rRNA from 1 species
UACGGAGGUGGCAAGCGUUGCUCGGAAUCACUGGGCGUAAAGGGCGCGUAGGCGGGGAGGUAAGUCGGGUGUGAAAUCCCUCGGCCCAACCGAGGAACUGCGCCCGAGACUGCUUCUCUUGAGUCCCGGAGAGGAAGAUGGAAUUCCCGGUGUAGCGGUGAAAUGUGUAGAGAUCGGGAGGAACAUCAGUUGCGAAGGCGGCUCUCUGGACCAGCACUGACACUGAGGCACGAAAGCGUGGGGAGCAAACAGG